UACGUAGGACCCAAGCGUUGUCCGGAUUUACUGGGUGUAAAGGGUGCGCAGGCGGAUGGAUAAGUCAGAGGUGAAAGUCUGCAGCUUAACUGUAGAAUUGCCUUUGAUACUGUUCAUCUUGAGUGUGGGAGAGGUUGAUGGAAUUCCAGGUGUAGCAGUGAAAUGCGUAGAUAUCUGGAAGAACACCAGUGGCGAAGGCGGUCAACUGGCCCAUAACUGACGCUCAUGCACGAAAGCGUGGGUAGCGAAC
rnacentral:rRNA from 1 species